UUGCUUUGUCUCGUGCAGCCAACCCAGCAUAGUGAUGCGCCUCUCUGUCUGGCUUCUGGAAGGACGGAGAGAUAUGCUGAUGUAUGCACACUGGCCCCUGAGCAGUUUUGCCUGCAGGAGAGCAAGGUGAAGCCAGAGCUGCCAACACACUUCCAUCUGCAAGAUGAAACCCCCGGAGGGAUUUUUCCAUCCAGGAAUUCCCACAAGGACAUCUGCUGGCCAGGAUGGCAGACCUUUUGUGUCACCAACAUCCAGUGACAGCAAGCAAAGAGAAGCCCACAAGCUGGGAAGAGGAGCUGACCAGAAGCCAGGGACUGCAGUUCUGUGGUCUUGGGCUUCCCAGCCUCCAGACAUGCCCUGAGCAAAGAGCAGCGUAUUUCUCUCUUUGUGAGUCCUUUCAUUGUCUUCUCUCUUCACUUUUCUGAGAAUGAGUGGCUCUCCCCACAUUCCUGAACUCUUGUGUGACACCUGUGCAUUGAGUUGAGUCCAGUGGCAUUUAUCAUCCCAACUGGGAACAGACUCUGUUACCACACUCCAGAGAAACUGGCAUCACCAAAGACUCUCCAGAGGACAAAUUACUGCAAGUUACAAAAACUCAAUGUAAGUAGCUUGAGUGGAGGGAAAUGAGUGUAUGUCACAUGCUGUUGGUUCACAAUGAGUUGGGGUUCAGUUACCCUAGUAAUCUAUAAUAGUAAACUCCUUGCUUCUUUCCUUUGCCUCUGUUCCCCCUCCUCACUGAUUAGCUAUAGACAUCCUCCCUGUAAAAUAUCCUGAAAUGAACACUGGUUGUCUCAACUCACAGGCAUAUGCAUCAGUCAGAAGGAGAUUCUUCUGUUUGGAGUCUUAACUGUGAAUCUGUAGAAUGAAGAAUUUCAAAGUAAGAGUCAGUACACAACACAGACUUAAUAAACUGGGUUGGAGGUGAAGUUCUGAAAGGUAACUCUAGGAAAAGAAAAGUAAAAUGGCCACUCCAUACACAUUCCUGGGAAUUCAAAGGAGACUUCUUACCCUACAUCCUCCCUUUUACAGAUGAAGAAACCAGGGCUCAGAGGAGUUGGGCAUCUUGCCCAAGGUUGUAGGGAUGAUGAAUGGAACAUCCCAAGUCUGUCUAACUUGAGACCUUCACAGAUCAUUUUUCUUUCUUUGCUCUGUGCUAGACCUAGAGGGCGAGACAUAAUUAGUCCUUAAUGGAGGCUGACUCUGUCUUCAGUCAAUAGAAAAGCAACCCCAAGCAGGACGGGGGAGAUGGCUGAGUUGGUAAACUGCUUCCUGAACCAGCCUGAGGACAUGGGUUCAAGACUCAGAGUACACAUGAGAAGACAGGCAAAGGGGCUUGUUUCUGUGAUCUCAGGACUGGAGAGGCAGAGACAGGCAGAUCCCUGGAGCUCACUGACCAACCAGAUCAAUGAGAGACCCCAUAUCAAAAGAGAAGGGAGAGAGCAACUGAAGAGAGCACUUAAUAGCCAGUGUUGAUCACUAGCUUGUACACAUGUGUGCAAAUGUGCAUGCAUAACACACACACACACACACACACACACACACACACACACACACACACACACACACACACACACCACUCCAGUAACCCAGACUGGCGUAGGCAAGAGAAAAGUAAUCUAUGGGCCACAUGACCCAUCUGUGGGUAGUUCAAGGUUACAGAUGGAGUCAAAGAUGAGAGUUCCAUCAGCAUGCCCUCUGAUUUUCCUGGUUUCCACGCCAUACCCUUGUCUGCAUGUGGCUGAAAGAAGGCCACCAACAGCCCUGGGCUCAGGAGCCUUCAGCUCCCUCCUUCUCAUUUACAUACCCCUGUGCACCCUUGAUCAGUUCUAUCUGUGAGGACCUCAAAAGCAGGUCCAGAUGGGGCCACUCAGAAUCCCAUGUCUACAAGCGUCCAGUUGGGUGAGGACAUGAGGAUCUGCAAUUGGUCCAACUCCAACCAAAUGCCCAUGCUAGCCAAUCACUGUGGCUAGAGUAACAAGACCUGGGAAGACAGUAGAUGCUUCUAUCAAACUUAAAAAGGAGAUAAACAGGACUUACAGGGUGUCCAGUAUUGCUUCUCUGUGCAACUAUCUCACAGGUGGUGGUCUUGCUUUCAAACCCUUUUAUACAGAGUCUUCUCAUGACACAGCCUUUGUAACUCUGAAUUAAGAGGCUUUUUUUAAAGGUAAGGAAACAGUUACUUCUCUCCAACUUCAACAAGAGCAGCAGGACUAGACUUUGCUUUGCCAUACAUCCUGAAUUUUACAGUUGUUCUGUACACUUUGGUCUCUCACAGAGACUUUGGACCCAUCCCUAACAAUUCAGACACAGGAGACAGGGCCACAGAUAUUUGACAUGGCAGCUGUGGUGAUUUGAAUAAAAACAGUCCUCAUAGGCUCAUCUAUUUGAAUGCUUGUCAUCAGGGAGUGGCACUGCCUGAAGGAUUAGGAGAUGUGGUCUUGUUAGAGUAGUGGUGGCCUUGCUGGAAGAAGUGUAUCACUAGGGUGUAGCUGGAAGUAUCUCUCCCAUCUGUGUCCCUCGGCUGCUUGGUCCCAAGUAAACACACAGAGGCUUAUAUUAUUUACAAGCUGAGUGGCCAAUGGGUCAGGCUUCUUGUUAUAACUUAACCCAUUUCUAUUCAUCUAUAUGCUACCACGUGACCAUGGCAUAACUGGUCUGCUGGCAUCAUGUUGCUCUGUGGAUGGUAGGCUGGUGUCUCCCCCAGCUCCACCCUUCUUUGUUUUGUCUUCAGUUUGAAUGCACCCCCAACCUAUCAUGCCCUGCUGUAAGCCAAUGCAGCUUUAUUUAUCAACCAAUCACAGCAACACAUAGCCACAGCUUACAGAAAGACAUCCCACAGCAAUAGGGAUAGGCUUUGAAGUUUCAGGUGCUCAAGUCAGACCCAGCGGCUCUCUCUCUCCCUGCUGCCUGUGAAUCUGGAUGCCAAACUCUCAGCUACUUCUCCAGCACCAUGUCUGCCUGUGUGCACCAUGCUCCCCGCCAUGAUGAUAAUGGACUA